CGUAUCAGGGGUAGGGGAGCGUCAUGUAUGAGGUGAAGUCGUAGCGGAAGCGGCGGUGGAUUGUACAUGAGAGAGAAUGCCGGAAUGAGUAGCGAGAAUUAUGUGAGAAUCAUAAUGGCCGAAAAUCUAAGGUUUCCUGAGGAAGGUUCGUCCGCUCAGGGUAAGCCGGGAGCUAAGGUGAGGCGGAAACGCGUAGCCGAUGCACAUACGGUAGAGAUUCCGUAGCCUCCGAAAAGUAAAGCACAGGGACGCUUCAGAAGUGUUACGCCGGGCGAUGGUAGCCCCGGUUGUAAAGGACACAAUUGAGUGGAAGGUAACAUGGAUGGAGACAAGAAAAGCUGUGUGUAUCUGGAAGGAGCCCGUACCGCAAACCGACACAGGUAGAUAGGAAGAAGAUUCUAAGGCCAGCGGGAGAAGGGUUGUUAAGGAACUCGGCAAGUUGACCCCGUAACUUCGGGAGAAGGGGUGCUUACGAAGGUAAGCCGCAGAGAAUAGGCCCAAGCGACUGUUUAGCAAAAACACAGCUCUAUGCUAAAUCGAAAGAUGACGUAUAUGGGGUGACACCUGCCCGGUGCUGGAAGGUUAAGAGGAGAUGUGAGAGCAUUGAAUUGAAGCCCCAGUAAACGGCGGCCGUAACAAUAACGGUCCUAAGGUAGCGAAAUUCCUUGUCAGGUAAGUUCUGACCCGCACGAAUGGUGUAACGAUUUGGGCACUGUCUCAACAACCUACCCGGCGAAAUUGUAGUACCGGUGAAGAUGCCGGUUACCCGCGACUAGACGGAAAGACCCCAUGGAGCUUCACUGUAGCUUAAUAUUGAAUUUUGGUAUUUCAUGUACAGGAUAGGUGGGAGACUGGGAAAUACAGGCGUCAGCUUGUAUGGAGUCACUGUUGGGAUACCACUCUUGAGGUGCUGAAAUUCUAACCUGCGUCUUUGAAUCAAGACGGGGGACAUUGUUAGGUGGGCAGUUUGACUGGGGCGGUCGCCUCCAAAAGAGUAACGGAGGCGCUCAAAGGUUCGCUCAGCAUGGACGGAAACCAUGCCAAAGAGUGCAAACGCAAAAGCGAGCCUAACUGCGAGACUGACGGGUCGAGCAGUAACGAAAGUUGGAGUUAGUGAUCCGGCGGUAUGUGAGUGGAAAUGCCGUCGCUCAACGGAUAAAAGCUACCCUGGGGAUAACAGGCUGAUCUCCCCCAAGAGUCCACAUCGACGGGGAGGUUUGGCACCUCGAUGUCGGCUCAUCGCAUCCUGGGGCUGAAUUCGGUCCCAAGGGUUUGGCUGUUCGCCAAUUAAAGCGGUACGCGAGCUGGGUUCAGAACGUCGUGAGACAGUUCGGUCCCUAUCUGUCGUGGGCGUAGGAUAUUUGAAAGGAGCUGUCCCUAGUACGAGAGGACCGGGAUGGACGCACCUCUGGUGAACCAGUUGUCACGCCAGUGGCACGGCUGGGCAGCUAAGUGCGGAACGGAUAAACGCUGAAAGCAUCUAAGCGUGAAGCCGACCUUAAGAUAAGAUAUCCGUUCUUCGGAAUAAGACCCCUUGUAGACUACGAGGUUGAUAGGCUUAAAGUGUAAGCAUGGUGACAUGUUUAGCUUGCAAGUACUAAUCGGUCGAUUGCUUUUCCU
rnacentral:rRNA from 1 species